GACGAACGCUGGCGGCGUGCUUAACACAUGCAAGUCGAGCGGUAAGGCCCUUCGGGGUACACGAGCGGCGAACGGGUGAGUAACACGUGGGUGACCUGCCCUUCACUCUGGGAUAAGCCUGGGAAACUGGGUCUAAUACCGGAUAUUCACUGUCUAUCGCAUGGUGGGUGGUGGAAAGCUUUUGUGGUGGGGGAUGGGCCCGCGGCCUAUCAGCUUGUUGGUGGGGUGAUGGCCUACCAAGGCGACGACGGGUAGCCGGCCUGAGAGGGCGACCGGCCACACUGGGACUGAGACACGGCCCAGACUCCUACGGGAGGCAGCAGUGGGGAAGUAUUGCGCAAUGGGCGGAAGCCUGACGCAGCGACGCCGCGUGGGGGAUGACGGCCUCGG
rnacentral:rRNA from 1 species